UCUGCUUUGAGCAGUUACGCGCCAGCUCCCAUGGCAUGCGUGUGUAUUUGCUUCGUCCUGUGUGCCGCUUAUUAAUAAGGUGCGACGAUGAGGUGUGUAAACAUUUUCAGUCGGAACACGGAAUAUCCAGAGCACGCUAUUUUCCGGAAGGACGGCGAGAAAACCCGUGGAAGCUUCUUUCUGGAAGUGCUUCAAGAGCAGAACAGAGGAAGGCGAAGAAACCAGAAAGAAAAUGAAGAGUGUCUGAAAAAUAUUUAGAACCUGAUGACCUCAAUACCAAUAAAAAGUAUUUGAACACGAC